CGCGUAGACGGUUUUUUAAGUCUGGAGUGAAAGUCCUGCUUUCAAGGUGGGAAUUGCUUUGGAGACUGGAAGGCUUGAGUGCGGAAGAGGUAAGUGGAAUUCCCAGUGUAGCGGUGAAAUGCGUAGAGAUUGGGAAGAACACCAGUGGCGAAGGCGACUUACUGGGCCGUAACUGACGUUGAUGCGCGAAAGCGUGGGGAGCAAACA
rnacentral:rRNA from 1 species